rnacentral:rRNA from 1 species
UACGGAGGGGGCUAGUGUUGUUCGGAUUUACUGGGCGUAAAGCGUACGUAGGCGGCUUUGUAAGUUAGAGGUGAAAGCCCAGAGCUCAACUUUGGAAUAGCCUUUAAGACUGCAUCGCUUGAACGUCGGAGAGGUGAGUGGAAUUCCGAGUGUAGAGGUGAAAUUCGUAGAUAUUCGGAAGAACACCAGUGGCGAAGGCGACUCACUGGACGACUGUUGACGCUGAGGUACGAAAGCGUGGGGAGCAAACAGG